UCGAGCGAACUGAUUAGAAGCUUGCUUCUAUGACGUUAGCGGCGGACGGGUGAGUAACACGUGGGCAACCUGCCUGUAAGACUGGGAUAACUUCGGGAAACCGAAGCUAAUACCGGAUAGGAUCUUCUCCUUCAUGGGAGAUGAUUGAAAGAUGGUUUCGGCUAUCACUUACAGAUGGGCCCGCGGUGCAUUAGCUAGUUGGUGAGGUAACGGCUCACCAAGGCAACGAUGCAUAGCCGACCUGAGAGGGUGAUCGGCCACACUGGGACUGAGACACGGCCCAGACUCCUACGGGAGGCAGCAGUAGGGAAUCUUCCGCAAUGGACGAAAGUCUGACGGAGCAACGCCGCGUGAGUGAUGAAGGCUUUCGGGUCGUAAAACUCUGUUGUUAGGGAAGAACAAGUACGAGAGUAACUGCUCGUACCUUGACGGUACCUAACCAGAAAGCCACGGCUAACUACGUGCCAGCAGCCGCGGUAAUACGUAGGUGGCAAGCGUUAUCCGGAAUUAUUGGGCGUAAAGCGCGCGCAGGCGGUUUCUUAAGUCUGAUGUGAAAGCCCACGGCUCAACCGUGGAGGGUCAUUGGAAACUGGGGAACUUGAGUGCAGAAGAGAAAAGCGGAAUUCCACGUGUAGCGGUGAAAUGCGUAGAGAUGUGGAGGAACACCAGUGGCGAAGGCGGCUUUUUGGUCUGUAACUGACGCUGAGGCGCGAAAGCGUG
rnacentral:rRNA from 1 species